rnacentral:lncRNA from 10 species
CAACAGAAAGCAAACAGAAGGGCUGUCAUCUCUUCCAGUUUGAAACAGAUAAAAACAGUGAAUCUACAAAUGGCAAGCUCAUAAGUGCUUUCCUGUGGGGAGAAAUCCUGAAGGGGUCUCUUGCUCCAGGAGCAGCGUGGAGGAGACUUUGAAGCAGGAAUACCACCCCACCCUCACCCACUCACCCAUGUCCGUUUAUUUUGGACAUGCUACAGUAAAUCCUCCCCAAGACAUGCGCUGCUCGUGUUUCAUGACACAAAAGCAAGUGACGCCUUGGAACCAGAUCAAAGAGGGCUCCAAGUGCAUGCUGCACAGAGCAGGCAGUGACCCUGGAAGGUUCGAUGUCCCUGGGAACAUUCCCACUUUAAGUUGGACAGACCUUGAAGCACAUCUGCGCCAGCAUUUGCACGUUCAUGUCUCCCUUACAUGCCUUUCCUCCUGUUUGUUUGAGCUUAACAGAAGGAAUGGCAGAAGUUUGCCCAAAUAAGGUACAUGGGCAGACACCUGAGGCUUUCAACACCUGUUUUAACAAAGAAGAAGAACCCAUCAAGUCAAUUUUUCUGAUCCAGCAAACAGCAUAGGUCUGGGAGUCAAAAAGCCUGGUAGCACAUAGCCUCUCAACUACUUAUUACCUUCCCUGACACAUUUGUCCAUCCUGGAUGUCCAUUGAUUCAUCAUAAAGGAUUGUCGAAAGAAUUAAAUGAGCCAGCGUAAAAGCAAUCAUUCUCUUUAUGAUCGCUCCUUCAAGUCAGACUCCAAGCCACUCGUAAAAGAAAGAAAAAAGCCUGGAAGGAGAGGCCUGCAGCAAAGUGAGGUGUCUCCUUUUAUGAGCAGUGCCCUGGGAUAGCUCCAAACCCAAAAGCUAAGUGCCCUGAAGACAGCAACUCCCAAUUUCGAGGGCUCAGCAAGCAAACAAGAACAG